UAUCUCUGUAGAGUCUGCAUAUCAAUAAGCGGAGGAAAAGAAACUAACAAGGAUUCCCUUAGUAACGGCGAGUGAAGCGGGAAGAGCUCAAAUUUGAAAUCUUCAAGGUUCUACCUUGACGAAUUGUAGUUUAAAGAAGUGUUUUCUGUUAGAUGAGUAGCAAAAGUUCCUUGGAAUGGGACAUCAUAGAGGGUGAGAAUCCCGUAUUUGGUUAUUCAUUCUAGCUUUGUGAUACACUUUCAAAGAGUCGGAUUGUUUGGGAAUGCAGUCCAAAAUGGGUGGUAAAUUUCAUCUAAAGCUAAAUAUUGGCGAGAGACCGAUAGCGAACAAGUACCGUGAGGGAAAGAUGAAAAGAACUUUGAAAAGAGAGUUAAACAGUACGUGAAAUUGUCAAAAGGGAAGCGUUUGACACCAGUGUUGUUUUUCCAGAAAAUCAAUUACGAAUGGCUUGAUUUUGUGUUGUAUUGACCUUAUCAGCUUUCUUCACUUUUUUCGAGUCUUUCUUAAUGCACUUUUCGGUUAACAAGUCAACAUCAAUUUCUUUUGUUGUAAAAGAGUAUUCGGAAGGUGGCUUUCUUUUCGGAGAAAGUGUUUAUAGCCCUAUACUUCUACAAUCGGAGAGAUUGAGGUCUGCAGCGUAGAUCCUUCGGGGUUAGAUACACUUGUGCUAAGUUGUAGCUUUUCAUAGACAACUUGUUGACUAUGUUUAGUCAUGCGGCUUACUCGCUUGUGCUAUUUUACCUACGCUUAGGAUGUUGACUGAUAUGUAGUCGUA
rnacentral:rRNA from 1 species